AUGUAAACAAACACACAAACAAAUGAUCCUCAAUGUUUGACACUUUGUGACUGUCCAGCUGAAUGAUCACACGACCUGUGGACAACAACAACGGCACAACUCCCCACCCCCUUCCCCUUCCCACUCCCCCUCCCCUUCUCACUCCCCCUCCCCUUCUCACUCCCCCUCCCCUUCUCACUCCCCCUCCCCUUCACACUCCCCCUCAGCUUUCCAGUCCCCCUCAUCUUCACAGUCCCCCUCAGCUUCCCAGUCCCCCUCAGCUUCCCUGGCCCACUCCACUUUCCAUUCCCCUUCUCACCACACCUCUCCAUCUCUUUCUGGGACCCCUUCUCCUCCUUCCCAUACCCCUUCUCCUUCCACUUCGACAUCCCCAUCUGAACCCCCCUCACCCUCUAUUGCUUUAAAUUUCUCUCCGCCCCCCUCGCCCUCUCAAUCAGACCCCCCCUCUGAAAUUGCGGCACUAAUCCAGCCUCCUUCCCCCAUCCAGCCUCCUGCCCCAAUCCCUCCUCCUUCCCCAAUCCCUCCUCCUUCCCCAAUCCCUCCUCCUUCCCCCAUCCAGCCGCCUUCCCCCAUCCAGGCAACAUCCCCACCAAGUGAAUGGGCAGAGGAAGCCCCUGCAGAACAUUCCGGGAGUCUGGAUGUUUCCGAGGAAAAUGUUGCAGUUGGAGAUCCCACAAGUUUUGCAGGGAUUCUAAACACCAUGCGCCAACACCUGCAAGCAAUGCUGGAUUGUGUGGACCAUUUGGAAAAAUUUGCAUAAUUUAGAAUAUUUGAUUUACCAAAAAAACAAAAAAAAACAAAAAAAAAUAAAAAAAAAGUUGUUUAAAGUUAAC